CCCUUAGAUGUUCUGGGCCGCACGCGCGCUACACUGACUACUUCAACGAGUUGUUUCCUUGAUCGAAAGGUCUGGGUAAUCUUUGAAAGGUAGUCGUGAUGGGGAUAGAUCCUUGCAAUUUUUGAUCUUCAACGAGGAAUUCCUAGUAAACGCAAGUCAUCAGCUUGCAUUGAUUACGUCCCUGCCCUUUGUACACACCGCCCGUCGCACCUACCGAUUGAAUGGUCCGGUGAAUCUUUAGGACUGUGGCUGAGGCCUUGCCUUGUGCGGGCCUGGCCGUGGGAAUUUAGUUAAACCUUACCAUUUAGAGGAAGGUGAAGUCGUAACA
rnacentral:rRNA from 1 species